UACGAAGGGGGCUAGCGUUGUUCGGAAUUACUGGGCGUAAAGCGCACGUAGGCGGAUUGUUAAGUCAGAGGUGAAAUCCCGGAGCUCAACUUCGGAACUGCCUUUGAUACUGGCAAUCUCGAGUCCGGAAGAGGUUAGUGGAAUUCCCAGUGUAGAGGUGAAAUUCGUAGAUAUUGGGAAGAACACCAGUGGCGAAGGCGGCUAACUGGUCCGGUACUGACGCUGAGGUGCGAAAGUGUGGGGAGCGAACAGG
rnacentral:rRNA from 1 species